CGCCAGUACCUGUGAAUGUGACCUUCUCAGGAAGUAGCAUCUUUGCAAGAUCGAAUCAAGAUGGGAGUUGACUCCGAAGGAGGCUGAGCCCCUAAUCCAAUUGACUGGUGUCUUUAUAAGAAGAGAGAAGAAACACACACAGAGUAGCAGGACAGAAACUCCCAGAAUGCUAUGCCUGCUCCAGCACCGGGCCUCCCGUAUUUCAAACCUAGAGUGGAUUCUUUUUAACAACUCCCGUACCAUUCACACAGACCAGUUCUAGCAGCUCUCAAGUGUCUUCACCGUGGACAAACUUUCACCAAACGCCCAUCGCCGGCAAAUGUAUCACAAAUUUCUAUUGUAUUUGGGUCUCAAGUUUUACACGUGCAAAAACCAGAGAAAGUAUCCAAAAGACGGCAAAUAGGGACUUGUCUGAGCCGUUGUGUUCUUGUCCAGUUCCUAGAGAAAGUGAUUCGGGCUUCAAACACUGCCCUUUGAAUUUCAUCAGGCAAUCUAAGACUGGAACCUUUGGUCAUUUCUCCUAACGUUUCUUCCCUAAAUUUGAUUCUUUUAUCUAUUUCCUCA